CCUAACUAAUAUUGUAUUAUUAUAUGAGUUCUUUGGCUAAAAAGAGCAUUUGCUUAAAUGAGUACAGUGAGUAGUGGGACCGUGGCAAUUUUAUGGAACUUGUUUUUUCGGUCUCAAGUCUAGUUCCUGAAUUUUAGCCUGCCUGUUGGGUUUGAUCUGCUGCCCAUCGCCACCUGAUAGAGUAAUGGUCAGGGAAGCCGAUGGAUCCUGAUCACCCUCAAUUUGCAUUCGAAUGGAUGACCAGAUUUCGAUCAACAACUCGGGACCAUGUCGGCUGGGAAUCUUUCGACAAUCGCGCGAUGAGCAUUGAUUAAUACGCAGCCGCUAACUAUUGGUGGUUGCGUUUGCCAACGCGUGUAAGAAAGUUGACUGGAAUUUAAUCGCAACGGACUUGACAAAGCGCUAUAUAUUUAGCAUAGAUUUCUGUUUCCUGGUUUUCGAUCAAUGGGGGCAACCAAAAGAUAGCUUCAUCUUGCGUAAAGGGAAAAAGAGAACGAAUUCAGCUAAAGAUAUGAGGAAAAGAUUUAGAAGGCUGAAAGCAGAGAUGAAAGAGAUCAGCAAAGAGCAGGCAAGCAUUAAGGAAGGGCAAAGGCUACUUCGAGAAAAAUUCAAAGCAGUCGAAGAAGAAUGCGAGCAGCUCAGGCAGGAAACUAACCAAAUUAUCCGACAAAGUGCCAACACUAAAUUCCGUCUGUGUCUGAUGUUUAAUAUCCUGAAGGCGCGAGAACAAGGCGAUUUCUUAAGGGCUGCUCAAUUAAUUCGACUACUUCGUGAAAUAGUCGCCAGACAUAAUUGCCAAAAUUAACUAUACCUGCAGCAGUUCGAAGACCGAAUUUCCACGUUCGGACAUGGUAUCCAGUUUAUCAAAAAUAGAUAUAUAGUUCAAUUCGUAAAAGUAUACAAAGCAAUGUAUUCGUAGACCAUUAUUUGUUAAAUUAUAUGCUGAUCGAACUUCAAUAAAAUUUUUAAAUAUUAUGUUGUCAAUAAAUUUUUCAAUAAAAUUGUCGCUUAUAUGUUUAUAUAUAUAUAUAUAUAUAUAUAUAUUCAUUCUGGCAUAUUCUAUGAUAUUAACCAUCAAAGUUUGAUUGAAAUCCGAAAUUUUAUCUAUUUUGUUGUGAUUAUAGCUCUUGGGACUCCCAAUUUAUGGAUAUAUUGCUUUCCUACCAGUCUAAUGUACGUAAACGGACUUUGUGGGUAAAUAAUACAUAAUUUU